AAUGGGCAGAGAGCCUGAACCAGCCAUGCCUCGCGUGCAGGAAGACGGUCCUAUGGAUUGUAAAACUGCUUUCUAUGCAGGACAUGAAACACUCCCUCGUGAGGGAACUUGACGGUAACUGUAGCGAAUAAGGAUCCUGGCUAACUCCGUGCCAGCAGCCGCGGUAAUACGGAAGGCAUCCAAGCGUUACUUCCGGAAUCAUUGGGUUUAAAGGGUCUGUAGGCGGUUUCAAAUAAGUCAGUGCGUUGAAAUCUGGUCGCUCAACGAUCAAACGGCCAUUGCAUACAUGUUAAACUUGCUAAUUAGUGUGAAGUAACUAGAAUAUGUAGUGUAGCCGGUGAAAAUGCUUAGAUCUAUUACAUGGAAUACCAAUUGCGAAGGCAGGUCUACUAACACUACAAUUGACGCCCUGAUAGACGAAAGCGUGGGUAGCGAACACGGAUUAGAUACCCUGGAUAGUCCCCACGC
rnacentral:rRNA from 1 species